GAUUAGCAUUAAUGGCCUUGCCAGAUGCAUGCCCUGGAUUCUUCCUGCCUGGGGGGGGGGGGGAUCUUUUGUUCAGAGGUGUUAGCUACCCCUGAUUGAUUCAUGCCUGGAAUUCCUCUUGUUUCGAAAAGAGGAAUAUAAAUCUUCCUUGUGUAAUUUUUUAUAAUAUACACAGUACUUCACAACCUGAGAAUGCCUGCCAAAGAUGUGGGCGAAACGUCAGGAGAGGAUGCUUCUGGAACAUGGCCAUACAGUCCGAAAAACAUACAAUGACCCUAUAUAGUGGUUGCUUUAAGAUGUAAUUUUUUACAAUAUAUACAGUACCUCACAACCUCUGAGGAUGCCUGCCAUAGAUGUGGGCAAAAUGUCAGGAGAGAAUGCUUCUGGAACACGGCCAUACAGCCCAGAAACACACACAACAACCCUGUGAUUCCAGCCAGGAAAGCCUUGGACAACAGGAUGUUAAUAAUAAUAAUAAUAAUAAUAAUAAUAAUACAGUAGAGUCUCACUUAUCCAACAUAAACGGGCCGGCAGAACGUUGGAUAAGUGAAUAUGUUGGAUAAUAAGGAGAGAUUAAGAAAAAGCCUAUUAAACAUCAAAAUAGGUUAUGAUUUUACAAAUUAAGCACCAAAACAUCAUGUUAUACAACAAAUUUGACAGAAAAAGUAGUUCAAUAUGUAGAAAUGCUAUGUAGUAAUUACUGUAUUUACGAAUUUAGCACCAAAAUAUCAUGAUGUAUUGAAAAAUUGACUACAAAAAUGCAUUGGAUAAUCCAGAAUGUUGGAUAAGUGAGACUCUACUGUAUUAAAAAAACCUCUAAAAUCAGGACAGUAAAUAAAGAGCAGGUAGCCAAAGAUAAAGGUAAAGGUUUUCUCCUGACAUUAAGUCCAGUCGUGUCUGACUCUGGGAGUUAGAGCUCAUCUCCAUUUCUAAGUCGAAGAGCCGGCAUUGUCCAUAGACACCUCCUAGGUCAUGUGGCCAGCAUGACUACAUGGAGCACCAUUACCUUCCCACCGGAGCAGUAGAUAGAUCAAUAUCUACUCACAUUUGCAUGUUUUUGAACUGCUAGGUUGGCAGAAGCUGGGGCUAACAGCAGGAGCUCAUGUCGCUCCCCGGAUUCAAAUCUGCGACCUUUCGGUCUGCAAGUUCAGCAGCUUAGCGCUUUAACGUGCUGCGCCACCAGGGGCUCCAAUAAAGAGCAACACUCAAAAGAACAGAGGAAUUCCAGACAAGAGACAAGCAGGGCCAGCUGACAGCCCCGAACAUAGGAUCAUCAAACAGACAAAAGUUCUUUCUCCCACCCUGGACAUUAUUCCACAGGUAUAUAAACCCCACUUGCCUAGUUUCCAACAGACCUCACAGCCUCUGAGGAUGCCUGCCAUAGAUGUGGACAAAACGUCAGGAGAUAAUGCUUCUGGAGCAUGGCCAUACCGCCCAGAAAAUUCACAGC
rnacentral:lncRNA from 1 species